CGGGCUGCCGGGGCUCCGGCCCCCGGCCUGAGAGCUGUGCGACCGUCGCUCUUCUUCCGGCGGCAGGUGUACGCGUCGCUGCCCGGCCGCGAAGACGCCUUCCACCGCGGCAUCUUCCUCUUCUGCUGCCACGAGCCGCCGUGCUGUGCCGCCCUGCGAGUUUCUAGGAAUCAGCUACCCAGGAAAAAUGAUUUUUACUCAUAUGAGCCACCUUCUGAGAAUCCUUCCCCAGAAACAGGAGAAUCGGUGUAUCUCCAACUUAAGUCUGGUGCUCAUCUCUGCAGUGUUUGUGGCUGUUUAGGCCCCAAAACUUGCUCCAGAUGCCACAAAGCGUAUUACUGCAGCAAGGAGCAUCAGACCCUAGACUGGAGAUUGGGACAUAAGCAGGCUUGUGCACAACCAGAUCAUUUGGACCUUACAACUCCAGACCACAACUUCCUUUUUCCAGAAUUUGAAAUUGUAAUAGAAACAAGAUGAGAUUAUGCCUGAGGUUGCGGAAAAGGAAGAUUAUUCAGAUAUUAUAGGGAGCAUGGUUAAGCAGUUUCAGGACUUCAUUCAUUAAGUGGUUAAACUUAAUGCUUGGAAGAAAGGUCUCAAUGUGUCUAGAAGAGAGGUACUGAGAGGAAGACUCACUUUGGAGGCUGGAGCCUACAAUUUUCAAGGAUUGCCUCAGGUGAAAAUAUACUUCCUGGACUUUGUUUCCUGACAUAUAUCAGGUGUGUUCUGCUCCCUAUAAAGACAAGAGGAGGCGGGUAUCCAGAUGGUCCCACGAGUAGGGCUACACAAGAUGCUGGAGGCUUGGUCCACCUCCCAGUAGUGGCGGCCAGAGGUGAAACCAGGGGAGCCCAGGACAGCACCUGCGAAGUUGAAUCUCUCAGCACUGUUUGGCCGAUUCUGAUGGAUCCUCCCACAUCGGACGCUCCUGAGGUCUUCAGAAAUGAGGAGGAGGUUGUGAGCCAUGUCAACAUCCAAGGUCACCUCCACUGCGAAAACAAAAACAAGUAGCUCAGCAAAUGCACAGAAGCCAAGCCCAUUUCACUCCUCUACUGCAAAGUCCCAAAUAUCUCAUUGACUUUGGUUUCUGUCAAUCUGCUUUUUUUCCUGAAGUCAGAGCUUUUCUCGAGGCAACUUCUCUGAAUAGUUGAAAUUCUCAGAUAUACUUGUUGUAAUAUGUGGCUCUUAUUCAUAGUAGAAGUUUUUAUUUUACAUUAUGUCAUGUGUUUGUUUAUGUCAUGUAUUUCUUCUGCUUAAAGGGGAGGGUCUCAAGACAGACACCAUGACCCUCUUUCUACAAUACUGAUGAGUGAAAAAUGACUGAUAGUUAAGACAAUGCAAGUUAGCAAUAUUAAAUGAUAUGUUUCUUUUUUCACAUUUUAUUGGUCCAAUUUAAAUAGUGUCUAGGGCAUGAAUCCAGGCUUUUGUUCUCCGUAUUUGUAACCAAUUAAUUUUGUUCAGUUUUGACAGGAGACGGGAUAUCUCUGCAGCUGAUAAUGUGAUGACAGAGGUCCCAUGCCUGGACUUAAGAGAAUCUAAGGCCAAGAGGAAGAUAAGGACCUAGACGGAAGGAUGCUCUUCAUCCUAUGGGGAAGUUGAGGCCUUAAGCAAGACAAUAUUAAUGGGCUUAAAUUUAAGAGAUGAGAUAAAAGGUAUUUAAAAAUUAUUAGAAUGAGCAUUUUACAACAUUGUGUAUGCGGUUGAAAAGCGAAGUCACCAACUUUAGUGGAAGAGGAAGAAAGGAAGGGGUGGGAUCUGGCCUAGGAAAAUUUAUUGUCUAGACCAUUCUGGAAAAAAAAAUCUAUAGAACCUGUUAUCCUUCAAGUCCAAUGUACAUUAUUUGAAUGAUGGAUACCUUAAAAGCCCUCACUUGACCACUGUGUAAUCAAUGCAUGUAACCAAAUUGCACAUGUAUCUCAUAAAUGUGUACACAUUUCUUUUAAGUUUUGAGAAUCCCUUGUCUAAGCCACGACAUAGACACGGGUAUAUUUUGCUGGAGAUCAAAAAAUAAAACCAGGUGUUUCUACAUGUUGUCAGGGCUGAGAAUCACUGAUGCCAGAGGAACAUUUCAGUUUCAGGUGCCAGACAUCAGCUAAUUACCCUAUGGUACGGAGAGCCAAUUGCACGAAUACUUUUUCCUCUUUUGGUAGUGGGAAGGGGCAGGGUAUACAGAUUCCUUACCUUGGAACUUCCGCAUCCUUGGGUUCAUCUUCAGAAUCUUUUUCAGCUUGGGCUCCAGUUCCUUAAUGUGCGAAACCAGCCUCCCCAGCUGCCGAUUGAGCCUGAUGUUGUUUUUCUGAGAAGCCUCCAGGCAGAAGGGACACAAGACACCUUCCCCUUGGGGCUCCUUCUGCAGUGAAUUGGUGCAGCUGAGGCAGAAGACACAUUCACACUCCAAGGACAUUGGCUUUUCUAAGUAAACUGUGCAGAUGGGACAUCUGGUUGCUUCUUUUAAGAGUUCAUCUGUGGUCACUGCCAGGCAAAAAAAAAUACACAGGGAAGUGAAUUUUCAUGAAAUGACAGCCUCUUAGUGUGUGACAAGUGACAACCUUUCCAUGCAUAGAGUUACUCUGCUCCAGCUUUAUAGUCCUUAGAACAAGACCGUGAGUACAAACACUCCAGCACAUGCCCAUGUCUUCAGAGAUUUGAAGUUCUAUUGGGGAAGACAAGUCCCAAAUGGUCCCUGUGCUUUGAGCUGAGUUGGAGGAAGAGUCGAUUCUCCUGGUGACCCAGCAGCUGUGCCAGCAGAUGAGCCUGAGCCCAUGACACAGCGGCACCCAUGUGAGGAGCAACGAGCUGGGGUCAUUUCCUCUCCUCUGAGGGGAGCCCAAGCAAGAGAUUCAUUAAUGAGAAUAAGAACUACAUCCUUCCUGCAGCCUUGGGACUGAAUACCAAACUGACUGCCACCACUCCUACAGUGAGGGGAUCCAGGGUGACUGAUUUCAACUCCGAGGCAGCACUCAGACAGCCUUUGUUGAAAGCAUUAAUUACUAAUUUCUUUCAUUCAUCCCCCUAUGUUAUAACCCCAAUUCUAGACAUCUGAGAAGGAAAAGCAAAGCACACAGAUGUGGACUCACCUCUUCCGCUGAAAUCUUUGUACGCCAUCCUCUUCCACCAAGAGCUCAGGUAUGGUGGGGAAAGGGCAUAGGAGAGCCUUUUAUUGGCAAGAUUGCCCAACCCUCCAUGAUCACACCCUUCCACUCCCUCUAAUCCUCCAUGAUCACACCCUGCCACCCCCUCUAACCUAAUCAGGCGUUUAUUUAAUUAUAUCGGGAAUGAGGUUUUUAUUGGUGAUAAAUCUGCAGUCCACAAUAUUCUUAGUAAAACCCUUCAUCCUGAUAAUAUUUACCUUGAAAAAGAAGAUAAGAUUAAAUUGCCAUCACUUUAGAUUAGAUUAGACCUAACCUACUAAUAUUAUAAGCCUAUUUUAGGGAUUAUUCCAGCAUUUUUUAGUAGCAAUGGUUUUGCUGAUAUAUACUAUACACAUCAAGCUUUGCUUAGAAUCCUAAAAUAGAUUAUCAGUGUGAUUGCAUUUGCAAUUUUACAAAGUUCUAUAAAUUUAUAUACAUCAGACUCAAAGGUAAUAGGUGCAUGCAUCUCAAUGAGAAAAUUUUAGAGAGUUUUUAUUUACUUCCAUCUUUGGAAGUAAAUUGUUCAUCUUUUAUCCUAAAAAUUUUUGAUAAAUAGUAGGAAUAAUUUAAAUUGUGAAAAAUGACCAUUAAACUCUGGGUAUUAGGCACUUCAUAGUGUUAGGAUACAAGCCAGAGUUGAAGAACGGGGAAUGUUUUCUCUGCUGCUUAUGUUUUCAAGUAGAAAUCAUUAACAGUGAAGUAAAUCGUACUUUUCUUUCCCUUGAACCAGCCUUGAGUCUUUUCUUUUUAAUCCCCUUCUGUGUAUAAAAAUC
rnacentral:lncRNA from 1 species